AUGUGACCUCGCUGAAGAAGAGCUGUGGAGAGGCUGGAAGCUUCUGAUUUCUAUUAAGAGAGUUUAGAACUUUAGUCUGUUCCUUCCAGGGUCAGCCAUCCGCACUAAAGACUGUGCCCUGGCUGGAGGGGUGAGUUAUCUAAAAGAAACCACCACAGCCCCAGAGUGACUGUUGACAAGGGCUGCUACCCCACAAGGAUACUGUGAUGCCAUGCCUGGCCAUGAGGCCGUGCAGGGUGGUCCUUUGGAAGAAAUGAACUCCAAGAUUGCCUACUUGGAAAUUCUUCUUUUUUGGAUGGGAUAAGUAUUGCUGACAUCAUGAAGCACAAGUGGAGAAGAAGGAAGUGUCAGGAAUGCCACACACAGAGGAGAAAAGAAGAUGGAGGAAAAGGAAAGGAACUCUGGGCACAGUAACCAACCUCAAAUCAGGCCUCAGGUCAUGUAAUUAGACUGUAGGGGAAUCUCGAGCCUCUUAAUACCUUGAGCAGCGUGACCGCCCUGUAAGCUGGGUCCCGGUCUGUGCUAUUGUGUCGUUUUGACAUUCUGCUCCGUUAUCUGGCUAUUGAGGGUGACUGCCCUGUCAUCGGGGUGCACGUCUCCUCCCCCUGUCUUUGGAGGGGCAUUGAGCUCUUUGUUAAUCUGAGCAAUGUGACCGCUCUGUAUCUGGGGUCUGGGUCUCUGCCCUCUUGCUCAUUUGGCUUUACGCCGUGCUCUGCCCCAUUAGUCAGCGUGACAACCCUGUAAUUAGGGUCUAUGUCACAAGCCUCUCUAGGAUAGGACAUAUUGAGCUCUUUGGUACUUUGAGAGCUUGACCUUCCUGUCAUUCAGGUUAUGGUCUCUCCUCUUUGGCUAAUGCCAGCGACCACGCUGUAAUCAGGGUACAGGUUGCAUCUCGCUUUUGAAAUCUGGGUAAUUAGAAUCAUUUCCGUUAUGUGGGCAGCUUGGCCUCCCUGUAACUAGGGUGUGCGUCUCCGAGGCCCUCUGGGUCUCUUGGCCUCGUGCUGUCUUCACAACCUGUUGCGAACGACUUCCCUGUAAUCAGGGAUCGGGUCUGUGCCCUCUAGUCUCUUGGCACUUGGCCAAAUGCAGCCACUGCCCUGAAUGAGCACCCUGUAAACAGGGUACAGGUCUUAUCUACUACUAUUUCUGGCACCCCCAUGAGACUGUGUCCAGAGUUCCGGCCCAUCCAACAGCGCUUCCAACAUGCCUGGAAUUCUGCAGCCAAGUCUCCUGCUUUCUACUCACUUCUUGGACUCUUGGAGACCUGACAUGCUAUUGGUGGUACGAUCCGAAAGUGAGUGUCCGGGGCGGUUUUGGACCGUUGUCGAAAGCGGUUCUCAUUUACACACGCCUUGUGCUCCCUCUCUCUGAUUCAGGCAUCAUGAAGCAGAAGUGGAGAAGAAGGCCUAACUUGUGUAUUUCUCACACAUUUCUAAAAGGAAGCAAACAAAACUAAAUGUUCUGGCAACUGGCAGUUACUCUCCGCACUUCACAACUUUCAAACACCUACUCUACUUAAAUGGUCACACCAACCAAAGUGUACCACACAUUCAAUAUUAACUUUGCACCUAUUGUGUCAGAAGUGAGAGUGUUUUUAGUAGUUGUGUCCAUUGGUGGAAGUGGCAGUCGUGGUGUUUUAGUAGUCUUUUACGCUUCUUGAAUUCAAAGGAUGAUGAUGUGGAUGUUUUAGGUAGGUAUUUUUCUGUUAAGUCUUGGUAUUUGGGUAGAGGUGCAGUAUUUUGUGAUUAUGACUAUUUUUCUGGUAUUGGUUUAGUGUGAAUUGUUGGCAAUUUUAGAUGUUUUUGUAUCCGUACAUUAGUAGAUGUCUUUAGAGGGGAAAGCUGAGGUUGCCUGUUUGGUGAAAUUUGAUUGGUGUGAAAGUUAAUUUCGGGUAGGUGUUUGAAAGCACUGAGGUUUGAAUUUUUAGCUCAACAGGGAUGCAGGAUCCACCUGGCUACCUCAGUUCUUACUGUCAUUCCUAAUUCCAAAAUCUGGGAUGAAGAUGACCAGGCAGAAUAAAGAUAUCUCCAGAGACUUUCAAGAGGGUAGCAUUUCUGCAGCUUUAGGGGAUCCCUUAAACCUUAUUGAGCUUUUCAAAGUGUAAUAAUUGUGGAAAACUUCCACUUCUGCCAAUUCCAUGUUGAACAAUGACCUGUAUUAAAGGACUUACACUGGUAGUUAAUUCUGUUCUGUAUUAAGAUGAUUUUGCUAAAAUCGCCGCUUUCUGAUGUGUGAAAUGAAUUAUCUAGGUCUGAUUAUACCUAUUUGAUAAAAGUGUGAUAACGACCCCAUGUUAAAUGCAUGGAUUGAACUUUGAUUGUCAUAUCACAUUGCUUUGCUUUC